AUUUUUUUGCCGUCAUUUUUGUUGGGGUCAAUUAUAUAUGUGAUCAUACCAAUGAAAUUUGCAAGCAUCUAAGAACGUUGACAAGUUAUCAUAAAUAUGUUCAUACAAAUAUUCCACCACUUCCCACCUUAUCUUCUUUAUUAAUCAUAUCACCUUUAGUUGUUUUCUUCUCGAAUAUCAAUUUUUUUUCUAUUAAUUAAUAAUGGAUUUUACGAGAAACAACCCAUUUCCAUGGUUUGACUCUAAGGUUUAAGCACUAAUUAGUGAAGUCUAAUUAAACAAAUUGUUGCCUUAGAAAAGUACAAUCCAAUCUUCAAACUAGAAGCUUCAUGAAAUA
rnacentral:misc_RNA from 1 species